rnacentral:rRNA from 1 species
CGAAAACGCAACUUUCUUAUCGAGGAAAAUAAAAAUUAACCUUCAAGUGAAGAGACUUGAGUACCAUAAAAAGACGAAAAGACCCUAUGGAGCUUUACUUAAGUUAUUAAACCACAAAUAAAAAAAGCUUUUUUUACUAAAAAAGUUUAGUUGGGGCGACUAAGGAGCACACACCACCCUCCUACUGACAAAAGACUCUAAAUCUACAAAAGAUCCACAAACGUGAAUAAAAAUCCAGCUACCCUAGGGAUAACAGGCUAAUCCUCCUUAAGAGCUCAAAUUGACAGGAGGGCUUGGCACCUCGAUGUUGGCUUAAGAUCUCUACUAAGUGCAGCAGCUUAGGUAGUAGGUUUGUUCAACCUUUAAAAUCUU